UACGUAGGGUGCGAGCGUUGUCCGGAAUUACUGGGCGUAAAGAGCUCGUAGGUGGUUUGUCGCGUUGUUCGUGAAAUCUCACGGCUUAACUGUGAGCGUGCGGGCGAUACGGGCAGACUGGAGUACUGCAGGGGAGACUGGAAUUCCUGGUGUAGCGGUGGAAUGCGCAGAUAUCAGGAGGAACACCGGUGGCGAGGGCGGGUCUCUGGGCAGUAACUGACGCUGAGGAGCGAAAGCGUGGGGAGCGAACAGG
rnacentral:rRNA from 1 species